ensembl:lncRNA
CGACGUGUUCUUCCUCAGACUUUCAGGACCAUUUUCCAUCUGCCUGCUCGUCCCGUCUCAUGACAUCAUGAUAGAAUGCGAUACCCAGCUGAGGAGCCACGGUUCCCUUUGGCGACGCAUUGGUGGCACCGCACCUGACGUGUGUCGUGCCCCCCCCUCGCCCCCACCUGACCCUCCGCCAUUAGACUCCGGCUGCCUUUGAGUAGUGACAAAUACUCCGAAGCACCUCUCUGGCAAGUCAAGCAGAAAACAUUUUCCAGGGCUUAAUAUUGAGCGGAUUGAUUCGACUUUCAUUAAUAAAGAUCAGAUAGAUCGGCUGAUUAUUAUUUUCUCUCUCUAUCUGUCUGAGGAUUGGGGACCAAGGAAAGGACGGAUGGAUACGAGGGCCUCGGCAUCGCCUCCUCACAGCGGCGCGAACGAGUGGCGAUGAGCGGCAGCGUCAUUGACCUCCGGCCCGGGGCUGAAAGUCCCGCCCCCUUCCUCGCCGUCAGCCUCCGUCAGAGACGCUCUGCUACCAGAUGCCGUUUGUGGUCACGUGACAGCAGAGGAGAGGGGCGGGAGGAGCAGAAUCAGCACAGUGCGUCCCCGGGGGACCGAUUUUACGUGGACACGAAAGCACACGGCGUCAGCGUUUAUUCUUCUCUGGGAACCGCAAAGAACGAGUUCAACUCAAACUCAUUUUAACACCGGCUGCAAAUAGAAUAUUUGCAGGAAUGAUCAUUUUUUUCUCCAUUUGGACGGGGGGGGGGACAGACGGACGUCUCUCGGGACAGAGAACGGGUGGUACGGUAACGGAGCUUCACGCGCAGGCGAAGGGUUAGAGCCUGCGAUCGCCCCCGAGGCUUCUGGGUAAAUGCGGGGCCCGUUAUCAACUCCACCCCCCACAAACCCUCUCCCGAGGGACCAGACGGGCCGGGGACAUUUAGACGAAAACACGAAUUCUAACAUUUUUGAUCUAGAAGAAAGGAGACAAGAGCCAGUCGCAUUUUGUCGAGCUUGAUUUCAGCAGAGUCCUUGGUCUUUGAAUAAACCUCUCAGAUGUAAACACACAGUC